rnacentral:rRNA from 1 species
AUGGCCAACGCUCAUGUCAACAUGAACUUCAACGCGUUCCUAGAGAAAACCAAGCUGAAAGAUGAUGGCAGCAACUAUACGGACUGGGUCCGGAACCUGAGGAUCAUCCUCAUAGCUGCCAGGAAACAAUAUGUCCUAGAAGGACCGCUAGGUGACGCUCCCGUCCCAGAGAACCAAGACAUUAUGAAUGCUUGGCAAACUCGCGCUGAUGAUUACUCCCUCGUUCAGUGCGGCAUACUUUACAGCUUAGAACCGGGGCUCCAAAAGCGUUUUGAGCAUCACGGAGCAUAUGAGAUGUUCGAAGAGCUGAAACUAGUUUUCCAAGCUCAUGCCCGGGUCGAGAGAUAUGAUGUCCCCGACAAGUUCUAUAGUUGUAAGAUGGAGGAAAACAGUUCUGUCAGUGAGCACAUCCUGAAGAAGUCUGGGUUGCACAACCGUAUGACCCAGCUGAACAUUAACCUCCCAGAUGAGGCGGUCAUUGACAGAAUCCUCUAG